CGGGUUGUAAAGCACUUUGAUCUGGGAAGAAAAAGCUUUGGCUAAUAUCCAAAGCCUUGACGGUACCAGAGGAACAAGCACCGGCUAACUCUGUGCCAGCAGCCGCGGUAAUACAGAGGGUGCUAGCGUUAAUCGGAUUUACUGGGCGUAAAGCGUGUGUAGGCGGUUCGUUAAGUCGGAUGUGAAAGCCCUGGGCUCAACCUGGGAAUUGCACUCGAUACUGGCGGGCUAGAGUACGGUAGAGGGCGGCGGAAUUCCGGGUGUAGCGGUGAAAUGCGUAGAUAUCCGGAGGAACACCGAUGGCGAAGGCAACCGCCUGGGCCUGUACUGACGCUGAGACACGAAAGCGUGGGAGCAAACAGGAUUAGAUACCCUGGUAGUCCACGCCGUAAACGAUGAGAACUUGACGUCGGUUUGCUCUGCGAAUCGGUGUCGAAGCUAACGCGCUAAGUUCUCCGCCUGGGGAGUACGGCCGCAAGGUUGAAACUCAA
rnacentral:rRNA from 1 species